UACGUAGGGGGCAGCGUGUCGUUCGAUUCGGAUGCUAAAGGAGCGUGUAGGCGGCCAGGUAGGUUCGGUUGUGAAACUUGGAGGCUCAACCCUUCAGAGGUCGCCGAAACCAUCUGGCUAGAGGUCCGGGAGAGGAGAGUGGAAUUCCUGGUGUGAGCGGUGAAAUGCGCAGAUAUACAGGAAGAACACCCGUGGCGAAA
rnacentral:rRNA from 1 species